rnacentral:rRNA from 1 species
ACGGAAGGCAGCAGUGGGGAAUAUUGCACAAUGGGCGAAAGCCUGAUGCAGCGACGCCGCGUGAGCGAAGAAGUAUUUCGGUAUGUAAAGCUCUAUCAGCAGGGAAGAUAAUGACGGUACCUGACUAAGAAGCACCGGCUAAAUACGUGCCAGCAGCCGCGGUAAUACGUAUGGUGCAAGCGUUAUCCGGAUUUACUGGGUGUAAAGGGAGAGUAGGCGGGAUUGCAAGUCCGUUGUUAAAUCUAUCGGCUCAACCGGUAGCUGCGGCGGAAACUGUAGUUCUUGAGUGAAGUAGAGGCAGGCGGAAUUCCUAGUGUAGCGGUGAAAUGCGUAGAUAUUAGGAGGAACACCAGUGGCGAAGGCGGCCUGCUGGGCUUUAACUGACGCUGAGGCUCGAAAGUGUGGGGAGCAAACAGGAUUAGAUACCCUGGUA